GGCCACAGCUCAGUGGCAGAUCACCUGCUUUGUAUGCAGAAGGUGCCAGCUUCAAUCCCUGGCAUCGUCA